rnacentral:rRNA from 1 species
UACGAAGGGGUCUAGCGUUGUUCGGAAUUACUGGGCGUAAAGCGCACGUAGGCGGACUAUUAAGUCAGGGGUGAAAUCCCGGGGCUCAACCCCGGAACUGCCUUUGAUACUGGUAGUCUCGAGUCCGGAAGAGGUGAGUGGAAUUCCGAGUGUAGAGGUGAAAUUCGUAGAUAUUCGGAGGAACACCAGUGGCGAAGGCGGCUCACUGGUCCGGUACUGACGCUGAGGUGCGAAAGCGUGGGGAGCAAACAGG